rnacentral:rRNA from 1 species
UAGGGAAUCUUCCGCAAUGGGCGAAAGCCUGACGGAGCAAGGCCGCGUGAGUGAUGAAGGUCUUCGGACCGUAAAACUCUGUUAUUAGGGAAGAACAAAUGUGUAAGUAACGAUGCACGUCUUGACGGUACCUAAUCAGAAAGCCACGGCUAACUACGUGCCAGCAGCCGCGGUAAUACGUAGGUGGCAAGCGUUAUCCGGAAGUAUUGGGCGUAAAGCGCGCGUAGGCGGUUUUUUAAGUCUGAUGUGAAAGCCCACGGCUCAACCGUAGAUGGUUAUUCGAAUCUGGACACCUUGAGUGCCGACGAGUAAAGUGGAAUUCCAUGUGUAGCGGUGAAAUGCGCUGAGCUAUGGAUGAACACCAGUGGCGAAGGCGACUUUCUGGUACGUAACUGACGCUGAUGUGCGAAAGCGUGGGGAUCAAACAGG